AUACGUAGGUGGCAAGCGUUAUCCGGAAUUAUUGGGCGUAAAGAGGGAGCAGGCGGCAGCAAGGGUCUGUGGUGAAAGCCUGAAGCUUAACUUCAGUAAGCCAUAGAAACCAGGCAGCUAGAGUGCAGGAGAGGAUCGUGGAAUUCAAUGUGUAGCGGGGAAAUGCGUAGAUAUAUGGAGGAACACCAGUGGCGAAGGCGACGAUCUGGCCUGCAACUGACGCUCAGUCCCGAAAGCGUGGGGAGCAAAUAGGAUUAGAUACCCUAGUAGUCCACGCCGUAAACGAUGAGUACUAAGUGUUGGAUGUCAAAGUUCAGUGCUGCAGUUAACGCAAUAAGUACUCCGCCUGAGUAGUACGUUCGCAAGAAUGAAACUCAAAUGAAUUGACGGGG
rnacentral:rRNA from 1 species